GACGAACGCUGGCGGCGUGCCUAAUACAUGCAAGUAGGACGCAGUUGCGAACGGGUGAGUAACGCGUAGGUAACUACCUAUUAGAGGGGGAUAACUAUUGGUAACGAUAGCUAAUACCGCAUACUAGUAGAUGGACCUGCGUUGUAUUAGCGAGUAGGUAGGGGAAUGGCCUACCUAGGCAACGAUACAUAGCCGACCUGGGGGGGUGAUCGGCCACACUGGGACUGGGGCACGGGCCAGACUCCCACGGGAGGCAGCAGUAGGGAAACUUCGGCAAUGGGGGGAAACCUGAACGAGCAACGCCGCGUGAGUGAAGAAGGUUUUCGGAUCGUAAAGCUAUGUUGUUAAGGAAGCGGUACUUAACCAGAAAGGAACGGCUAACUACGUGCCAGCAGCCGCGGUAAUAC
rnacentral:rRNA from 1 species